AGGAUGCUUCGGCGUCGGCACCGGUCUAAGUUCCUUGUAACAGGACGUCACAGAGGGUGAGAAUCCCGUACGUGGCCGGCCGCCGUCACCAUGUGAAGCUCCUUCGACGAGUCGAGUUGUUUGGGAAUGCAGCUCUAAAUGGGAGGUAAAUUUCUUCUAAAGCUAAAUACCGGCCAGAGACCGAUAGCGCACAAGUAGAGUGAUCGAAAGAUGAAAAGCACUUUGGAAAGAGAGUUAAACAGCACGUGAAAUUGUUGAAAGGGAAGCGGUUGCCACCAGACUUGACCGCGGGCGCUCAGCCGGGCUUCUGCCCGGUGUACUCGUCCGCGGCCAGGCCAGCAUCAGUUCGGGCGGUCGGAUAAAGGCCUCGGGAAUGUGGCUCCCUCCGGGGAGUGUUAUAGCCCGGGGCGUAAUACGGCCAGCCUGGACUGAGGUCCGCGCUUCGGCUAGGAUGCUGGCGUAAUGGUUGCAACCGGCCCGUCUUG
rnacentral:rRNA from 1 species